GGGUGGUCCUCUCGCGUCAUGACCGUGGUUAGCCUAUUGGCAACGCCCCUGGGCUAUAAAAACAGGAGCGUAUGCGUCACCUGGGAUGCGUCACUUGGGGGACUGCUGCGUCGUUAACGCGAUCCCGUCACUUCCGGAAUUGGCUGUGUAUUCUCGAGACGAGUCGCUGAUUAGUUUGGCAAGUGCUUCCGCAUUGAUACUGCGUUCAUCUUGGCGAGUGCUUCCGCAUUGAUACUGCGUUCAUCACAACGGUCUAUUCAAAGAGUGUCUGUACAAAGAGUGGAAAAGCUGUGCUAUUUUGAUAGCUGCUGGCAUAUUGUGUCUACCUUCAUUCUCAGCUGUGAGAUCUGAUGCGAGUGCGGAAUUAAGGUGCUCCGUAAGGGCAGCUGUUGAAAGCAACUAUUGUUGUCUGUUCGUCAUAAUUAACCCUGUGUUGAUCGGUAGGUAUUUAUGCAUGCAACCAUUAGGAUGAGAGUGAUUUAAUUCCAACAGAGUUAUAGUCUUGUUUUGUUUAUAGGUUUGGGGACUAUCUGGGUCGGGGUGCUCUCUGUCCAUUUACAGCUGCAGUGCUGUCCUGUUUCCAAAGUUUUAUUUUUAUUUGACUUUUCCUUUUGGGUUAUGCUGCUUUGUUUUUGAUUUAUAUAGUUUGAUUCUAAAGUUGAUUAUUUUGGGUUCUACUUGAAUUAUAUUUGUGAU